GUGGGGAAUAUUGGACAAUGGGGGCAACCCUGAUCCAGCAAUGCCGCGUGUGUGAAGAAGGCCUGCGGGUUGUAAAGCACUUUCGAUGGGAAAGAAAAGCUCAGGGCUAAUAUCCCUGAGUCUUGACGUUACCCAGAGAAGAAGCACCGGCUAACUCUGUGCCAGCAGCCGCGGUAAUACAGAGGGUGCAAGCGUUAAUCGGAAUUACUGGGCGUAAAGCGCGCGUAGGCGGUUUGAUAAGUCGGAUGUGAAAUCCCCGGGCUUAACCUGGGAACUGCAUUCGAUACUGUCUGACUAGAGUUUGGUAGAGGGAAGUGGAAUUCCAGGUGUAGCGGUGAAAUGCGUAGAUAUCUGGAGGAACAUCAGUGGCGAAGGCGACUUCCUGGACCAAAACUGACGCUGAGGUGCGAAAGCGUGGGGAGCAAACAGGAUUAGAUACCCCGGUAGUCC
rnacentral:rRNA from 1 species